AUCCUUUUGUAGUUCCUGUGACGAUGGGGUGUUCACACGCAUGUGUGACCUGUGCCACCCUUGAACCUUGUUAUGAUAUCGUCACAUUAUCCAUCCAACA
ensembl:snoRNA